GUGAGGUGUCACAACUGGCGUAUCCCUGACUGUGGGUCAGGUGUGGUGGGGAACCACCGGGGAGUGACACAGCAGCUUCGACCAAGGGUCGUCCGCCUGGGCCCGGUCA
rnacentral:ncRNA from 2 species